rnacentral:rRNA from 1 species
GCUUACGGCCAUACCACCCUGAAUGCGCCCGAUCUCGCUGAUCUCGGAAGCUAAGCAGGGUCAGGCCUGGUUAGUACUUGGAUGGGAGACCGCCUAGGAAUACCAGGUGCUGUAAGCU